rnacentral:rRNA from 1 species
AGGCCAUGCGAGCGAACGCGGUGAACUGAAACAUCUAAGUAACCGCAGGAAAAGAAAUCAACCGAGAUUCCCAAAGUAGUGGCGAGCGAAAUGGGAUGAGCCUUGUACUCUUUAUUUGUAUUGUUAGCCGAACGCUCUGGAAAGUGCGGCCAUAGCAGGUGAUAGCCCUGUAGGCGAAAACAGUAUGAAAGAACUAAGUGUACGACAAGUAGGGCGGGACACGUGAAAUCCUGUCUGAAGAUGGGGGGACCAUCCUCCAAGGCUAAAUACUCGUGAUCGACCGAUAGUGAACCAGUACCGUGAGGGAAAGGCGAAAAGAACCCCGGGAGGGGAGUGAAAUAGAUCCUGAAACCGCAUGCAUACAAACAGUCGGAGCCUCGUAAGGGGUGACGGCGUACCUUUUGUAUAAUGGGUCAGCGACUUACGUUCAGUAGCAAGCUUAACCGUAUAGGGCAGGCGUAGCGAAAGCGAGUCCGAAUAGGGCGUUCAGUUGCUGGGCGUAGACCCGAAACCAAGUGAUCUAUCCAUGGCCAGGAUGAAGGUGCGGUAACACGUACUGGAGGUCCGAACCCACUAACGUUGAAAAGUUAGGGGAUGAGCUGUGGAUAGGGGUGAAAGGCUAAACAAACUUGGAAAUAGCUGGUUCUCUCCGAAAACUAUUUAGGUAGUGCCUCGUGUCUCACCUUCGGGGGUAGAGCACUGUCAUGGGUUGGGGGGUCUAUUGCAGAUUUACCCCGCCAUAGCAAACUCCGAAAUACCGAAGAGUGCAAUCACGGGAGACAG